UUUGAUCCUGGCUCAGGAUGAACGCUAGCUACAGGCUUAACACAUGCAAGUCGAGGGGCAUCAGGAAGAAAGCUUGCUUUCUUUGCUGGCGACCGGCGCACGGGUGAGUAACACGUAUCCAACCUGCCCUUUACUCGGGGAUAGCCUUUCGAAAGAAAGAUUAAUACCCGAUAGCAUAAUGAUUCCGCAUGGUUUCAUUAUUAAAGGAUUCCGGUAAAGGAUGGGGAUGCGUUCCAUUAGGUUGUUGGUGAGGUAACGGCUCACCAAGCCUUCGAUGGAUAGGGGUUCUGAGAGGAAGGUCCCCCACAUUGGAACUGAGACACGGUCCAAACUCCUACGGGAGGCAGCAGUGAGGAAUAUUGGUCAAUGGGCGUUAGCCUGAACCAGCCAAGUAGCGUGAAGGAUGAAGGCUCUAUGGGUCGUAAACUUCUUUUAUAUAAGAAUAAAGUGCAGUAUGUAUACUGUUUUGUAUGUAUUAUAUGAAUAAGGAUCGGCUAACUCCGUGCCAGCAGCCGCGGUAAUACGGAGGAUCCGAGCGUUAUCCGGAUUUAUUGGGUUUAAAGGGAGCGUAGGUGGACUGGUAAGUCAGUUGUGAAAGUUUGCGGCUCAACCGUAAAAUUGCAGUUGAUACUGUCAGUCUUGAGUACAGUAGAGGUGGGCGGAAUUCGUGGUGUAGCGGUGAAAUGCUUAGAUAUCACGAAGAACUCCGAUUGCGAAGGCAGCUCACUGGACUGCAACUGACACUGAUGCUCGAAAGUGUGGGUAUCAAACAGGAUUAGAUACCCUGGUAGUCCACACAGUAAAACGAUGAAUACUCGCUGUUUGCGAUAUACAGUAAGCGGCCAAGC
rnacentral:rRNA from 1 species